AAAGUGUUCAAAUUAAAUCGUGCAAAAUGGAUUGUGUUCCUGGUGGAUCCGACACAAACGUAAUAAAAUGCACGAACGAAGAAAUAUUUAAUAUUAUGAAAACAAAGAUGAAGGAUAGCGUGUCAGAACAAAUCGAAAUUUUAGAAG